rnacentral:tRNA from 1 species
GAAUUUGAAGCAAUUUUGCAUUUAGUUUCGACCUAACCUUAGACUUUAAAGUCCUAAUUCU